rnacentral:rRNA from 1 species
UACGAAGGGGGCUAGCGUUGCUCGGAAUUACUGGGCGUAAAGCGUGCGCAGGCGGCCCGUUUUGUCAGGCGUGAAAGCCCUGGGCUCAACCUGGGAACUGCGCUUGGGACGGAUGGGCUUGAGAUCGGGAGAGGAGACUGGAAUUUACGGUGUAGCGGUGAAAUGCGUAGAGAUCUGGAGGAAUACCGGUGGCGAAGGCGGCCCCCUGGACAAAGACUGACGCUCAGGUGCGAAAGCGUGGGGAGCAAACAGG